GUUCUUCAUCAUUUCCUGAAAACUAGAGAAACACAGUUUAAAGAGAACCCAACAACAACAACAAAAAAGCAAUACUGUCUCUUUGAGAUCACAGAAACCCUAAUUUUUAUUAAGAAACCCUAAUCUCAAUCUCCAGAUUCUGUAUGUAAAUGCAUCUGAAGAAUUCAACUGUAGCAGAACGGCGGUACAUCGGAAAAGAAACCGCCGGUUGUUUAUCUACUUCCUCCGAUUUGGAUCCAAAGCCUAAGAUUAAACAUCAUCAUCGCCCUCUUCAGGUACCUGAGAUUCUCACCCCAGACAUUGGUGGGUUCAGUGUGUUCAACAAUCAAGUUCAACAAGCUCAGAGUCGUCAUCAUCUGACGGUUGAAAUCCCAGAUUCGUCGUCUCGGAAUCUUACUUCCAAGAGACCUGUGGUGGUUACGGCGGCGGCUCGAUCUUCUAAUCCGUUCAACGUUGACGAUUUCAGAAGACAACGCGGAAGCUUUGGUUCGAUUUCGUCUUAUUGUCCGUCGUAUCUUUUGUCGUGGUUCUCUUCAUCUCUUCCAUCGAUCCCAUCGGCGACUAAUCAGAAGCUUCUCCGUCAUGUUCUUAGAGUCCGUUUGAUAUGUUUCCAUCUUCGUUUCUUACUUCUUCUCUCUGUUCCUCCUCUUUACAUCUUCUUCUUGUUGAUUAGUUUCAGAUUCUUCCUUCUUUUCGUCUUUUCGGUUAUCGCUUUUUCUUUUGUCCUUUCGAUCUCUCUCAAAUUCGCUCUUCCUCACUUACCAUCGAUUCGUUUGAUUAUCGCUCGGUUGCUGUCUCUCAAGCUUACCCCUACCAGAUCCUCGUCUACAUCUCAGGAGAGUACUAAACAUGUUGUUUGGUCAAUUGGGUCGAAGCCUGUGACUGAGAAGAAGACUAACUCUGGCUCAUGGGUUCAGAAGUACAGCUCUGGUGAUGUUUACGAGGGAGAGUUUCAUAGGGGCAAGUGUUCAGGGAGUGGUGUUUAUUACUAUUCUAUGAAGGGUAAAUACGAAGGGGAUUGGAUUGAUGGGAAGUAUGAUGGAUAUGGAGUAGAAACAUGGGCUAAAGGAAGUAGGUACCGAGGUCAAUACAGGCAAGGGAUGAGACAUGGAACUGGAAUCUACAGGUUUUAUACAGGGGAUGUGUAUGCUGGUGAGUGGUCUAAUGGACAGAGCCAUGGCUGUGGUGUGUAUACCUCUGAGGAUGGUAGUCGUUUUGUUGGAGAGUUUAAAUGGGGUGUUAAACAUGGCCUUGGUCAUUAUCAUUUCAGAAAUGGUGAUACAUAUGCUGGGGAGUAUUUUGCCGACAGGAUGCAUGGUUUUGGAGUGUAUCAAUUUGGAAACGGGCAUCGGUAUGAAGGAGCUUGGCAUGAGGGGAGAAGGCAAGGGCUUGGUAUGUACACGUUCAGGAAUGGUGAGACACAGGCAGGCCAUUGGGAAGACGGAGUUCUCAGCUGUCCUACCGAGCAGACCACUCGUCCUGAUUCAUCGUUUUCCAUCAGUCAUUCCAAGGUUCUCGACACUGUCCAGCAAGCAAGGAAAGCAGCCGAUAAAGCACGUGAAGUUGUGAAAGUUGAAGAGAGAGUGAACAGAGCAGUGAUGGUCGCAAACCGAGCAGCAAAUGCUGCUAGAGUUGCUGCUACGAAGGCUGUCCAAACCCAAACAUUUCAUUGUAGUAGUGGGGACGAUCCUUUGUGAGUUCCUGUGGCAAAGAUUUUGACAUAAUCGCAGUCAUGACCACACCUCGAACAUCUUCGAAGACACAAGAGUGAAGAGAGAGACGCUUAGAGAACACAGCCAACAAAAUUCGCAAUCUCCGUGGAGAUUUUCUUGAAGGUGAACCACUUGGAACCAAGGUCGAGAUCUCAUAAGUAAUAAUUAAGAGAUCUGGCUAUGGAGCAAGCAAUACAGAUAGAAGAUGACAUGAGAGAAUUCCAAAUACAAUCAACUUGAGAAGAUUAAAGAUAUCUGGUCUAUGACUAGGUUCAAGUACAACAAACGGUCAUACAUAUGGUUAUAUAUAUAACAUCCACACCAUAAAAACCUAAACUGCAAAUAUUAUAGAAGAUGGAGCAGAACCACUUAGUUGAUACAAGAUUGCGUCAAUUUCAUCUCCAUCCUUAAGCUCCAGCUCAUCCGGUGUAUGAUACUCUCGAAUCCUGGAACCAUCCAAAAGAAAGCGAAAUGUGUUCCACUCGACGCCUCUCAUUUCGGUGUAAUGUUCCACCAACCUAAGCAACUUAGCGUUCCUUCUCACCUUAAACACUCGAACCCUAUCCUCGUCCUGACCCUUGACGUUUAGAGUAACAUGGGUAGACGACUACGACUCCGAGGCAACUUUAGGCUUUUCCCCUUCUUUCUUCACCUUACUUGUUCCAUAAACUCUGCUCAGCAGAUCAUAAGGAGCGAUCCUUGGACGAGUUGUCUCAGAUCGCAACUUCGAUUGCAGAAUUGAAGUGUUGUCGCCGAUUUGGCUACCUUCUUCGGACAUUUUUUUUUUUUUUGGCGCAGAACAGUAUUACGACAGAAGGUCAAAAGAAAAGAGCUAAGAAGAGAUCGAACAUGACUUAAAUGGGCUGGGCUCAAAUAUUAGCGUAGGCCCAUAAAGUGAUUCUCUCCCGCUCUAAACUCUUUCUAAUCCUCAGGAGAGAAAGAAAUGAUGAUCGGAAAAUUGAAUUCCCCCAAACAUCACAGAAAAGAUGCAGAAAUCGUUCUCGUUGAUCCAAACGGUUGCAAUCUCCGGCGUAUUCUCCGCCGUCUCAUGCUGGUAUGGAUUCAUGUUCGGUAGAGAGUCCGCGAGAAAAGAGCUCGGCGGUUUAAUCGAAGAGCUCCGUCGUGGAAGUUCCAAUUCUGACUCUACUCCACCACAUUCCUGAGUUAGACAUUCCGAUUUCCCCAGGCGCUUUCGUUAUCUGUGUUGCUAACUGCUAAGUUAGUUUCCGAUUUCGAUUCAUCUUCCUGUGAAAUUUCCAUUUAUGUCACUUUCCAGAAUGUUCAUGAUUUUUGAGCAACUGUUGUAUAAACGAUGUGUUCAUGAGUUAAUUUAACUAUGAAAUUGUUUGAA